CCUACGGGUGGCUGCAGUGGGGGAUAUUGCACAAUGGGGGGAACCUUGAUGCAGCGACGCCGCGUGGGCGAUGGAGUGCUUCGGCAUGUAAAGCCCUAUCAGCAGGGAAGAAAAUUACGGUACCUGACUAAGAAGCCCCGGCUAAAUCCGUGCCAGCAGCCGCGGUCAUACGUAUGGGGCAAGCGUUAUCCGGAUUUAUUGGGUUUAAAGGGUGCGUAGGCGGACUGUUAAGUCUGCGGUAAAAGCCCGGGGCUCAACCCCGGCGAGCCGUUGAAACUGGCUGUCUUGAGAUGUCGAGAGGUAGGCGGAAUGCGCGGUGUAGCGGUGAAAUGCUUAGAUAUUGCGCAGAACUCCGAUUGCGAAGGCAGCAUACCGGAGGCGAUCUGACGCUGAGGCACGAAGGCGUGGGUAUCGAACGGGAUUAGAUACCCCAGUAGUC
rnacentral:rRNA from 1 species